rnacentral:misc_RNA from 1 species
GAAAUGCGAUAAUUAAUGUGAAUUGCAGAAUUCAGUGAAUCAUCGAGUCUUUGAACGCACAUUGCGCCCCCUGGUAUUCCGGGGGGCAUGCCUGUCCGAGCGUCAUUGCUGCCCUCAAGCACGGCUUGUGUGUUGGGCUUCCGUCCCUGGCAACGGGGACGGGCCCAAAAGGCAGUGGCGGCACCAUGUCUGGUCCUCGAGCGUAUGGGGCUUUGUCACCCGCUCCCGUAGGUCCAGCUGGCAGCUAGCCUCGCAAUCAAUCUUUUUAACCAGGUUGACCUCGGAUCAGGUAGGGAUACCCGCUGAACUUAAGC